UACGUAGGGGGCUAGCGUUAUCCGGAAUUACUGGGCGUAAAGGGUGCGUAGGUGGUUUCUUAAGUCAGAGGUGAAAGGCUACGGCUCAACCGUAGUAAGCCUUUGAAACUGGGAAACUUGAGUGCAGGAGAGGAGAGUGGAAUUCCUAGUGUAGCGGUGAAAUGCGUAGAUAUUAGGAGGAACACCAGUUGCGAAGGCGGCUCUCUGGACUGUAACUGACACUGAGGCACGAAAGCGUGGGGAGCAAACAGGAUUAGAUGCCCGCGUAGUCCCU
rnacentral:rRNA from 1 species